rnacentral:lncRNA from 1 species
CCGUAAGCUCAAUUUGUAAAGCAAAGCAAGAGUGUAGGAGCAAAGUGGAACCUCCAAGCGUUUGGCCAUGCAAGGUUUCAUUCAGAAUUGCUAUCUUUGAUGCAUCGUUGAGUCCCUUGGACCCCAUCAUGGCUAUGUAAGUAUAAGAGAUUGGCAAAAUAAGUGCAGAGCCCCAAGGUGCGGCAGAGAUGGUUCCGAGUGGCUGAGACUUGUCGAGGGCAUGAAGGCCACCGGCCGGUCGAUACCUUGAGUACAAUGGCACAAUUUUUUUUUUUUUUUGUUUAUAUUUUCCUCAUCCCCAAGUCAAGUGCAAGAACUCUCCCUCUAGUGUGAGUCCCACAAUUUCUUACCAUGGACUUCACUCGAUCCUGACCGUUGAUUUGGUGUGAUGAGAUUCAAUGUGGAGGUGUUGGACAUUCAACUGUUGGGAUUGUGAUGAUGAUGGUGUUUUAUGGCUCUUUGAGACCAAAAAUGGCAUUUGCCUUGUGCAAGUGGAUUUCCCUCCAUCUUAUAUGUUCAUUCUUCAAAUAGUGAUAAGAUAGUAAGAAGAUAAACAUCUUUCCUUUUGUGCUGAUUGUGUAUUUAUAAAUUAUAUAUUGUGUGUUUAAGAAACUAACAUACGUAACACAUGUGUACUGAGAAUGAGACUACGACGACCGUAAAAUAUUUGUUUAAAUGGAGGGGUGAAACAAAACAUAGAAAGAAGAAAAGUGGGACUCACAGCUAUUUUUUUCUUGUUGUGCAAAUUUGGUAUUUAUGAUCUGCGUAUCAUAUAAUUCAAAACUUGACAGCCGUAACGUAUGCAGAUCUACGUCCUGAAAAUACGACGAGUGUAAAGUGUUUGUUGGAAUUGGAGGUGUAAAAUAAAACAUGCAUUUAUUGUGUAUUUAUGAAUCAGAUAUUAUGCAUUUAAGAAGCUGACAGACGUAACAUAUGCGUACUGAGAACGAGAAUACGAUGACUGUAAAGUAUUUGUUCAAAUGGAGAGGUGAACUAAAACAUUCCUUUUUAUUUUGUGUAGACUUUGUAUUUAUGAUUAGUAGACAACUAUUCUAAGCCAUUAGAUCAGCAUUAGUGUUUACUUAAGUUUAAUAUGUGACCUCUCUCACGUUGUAGACAAGAAAUUUGAUAUGGUAGCUCCCACUCUGCUUAUAUAUAGAUAUAGAGAUACAUACAUACAUAUAUAUAUAUAUGUGUGUGUGUGUGUGUGUAUCAUCAAGUAAAAUACUUACAUUGGCAUCUACAGUUUGAGGUUCUUUAUAUUUAUGAGGAAAAAAUAGAGACUCUCUUUAAAGUUACUCAUAGUAGAGUUAAUUCUGAAGCUAAUACUUUCUUCCAUCACGUGUGUGGCUUUUUUUUUUCUUUUUUUUUUUUUUGGUAUAGAAAUGAUAGGAUUUUACGAAGUAUUUUAAUAACCAAACAUUAAACAACCACAACAAGUCACAAUGAGCCACGUCUUAGUAUUAACCUCAAUACAAAUACAUAUUGUAUUUGCAUUCGUCAGAGACAUCCAACUAAGUGGAGAUCAAAUGUCAUUAGAUCAACUCAUCGUAAGGUGUUGCAAUGUGGUUUUUAAAGUUCAAGUUAGGGAACAAUGAUUUUGUAAUUCUUCCUAAAAUCUAGAUGUCACAUAUUGACAUUGACUGUGACAUUAAAGGUCACAUAUUGACAUUGACUGUGACAUUAAAAGUCACCUUCUCAAACUCAUUCGUUUGACAGUGAAGCUAUAUUACAUUAGAUUUUUUUUUUUCAAAUACGUUUCCGACAAGAAGACGACUAAACUAAUACAAUGUAAGAAAGAGAUUCAAACUUAGGUACAAGAGGAUCGGUGCACUGCGGUGAUCAACCGGGGAAAAAACCUACUGAAGAAGGGCAAUAAUAAUAGAACAUCUGAGUUGCAAUUAGCAACACAUGUUAUUAGAAAAGAUAAUCGUCAUCCUCAUAAAUAGGAAAUGAAAAUGUCACCAGAUAUAAAGGGCUGUAUUGAAGAAAUUAUAUACAAUGAGGGGAGUAAGAAGAAAUUAUGAUGAUUUCAUAACACAUAUCCAUGACCAGACUUUGUGUUGAGCUCAAUGCACUGAGGUGAGGAGACUAAGGCCCCGUUUGGUAUUGUUUUUUUUUUUUUACUAAAAACUGCUUAACUUUAAAUUUAAGCAGUAAAAAAGUGUUUUGGUAAAAGUAAAAUAUCCUGCUUAUUUUAAAAGUAAUGUUUUCCAGACAACAACUUUUAAAAGCAGCAUGUAGGUUGCUUUUAAAAGCUGCUGUAAUAAAAAGCAGAGUUGGUUCUUUAAUAAUUAUUUUCAAUUGUUGUAAUACCUUCAUUAAUUUUUUUAAAUGACAUUGUUUAGCCUUCCACACACAUUCUGUCCCUUAGAGAACAAAGUAAACAUCACCACCUACCACUACAAAUACUAACCUCACACCUUUGUCACCACCACCGCCAUAACCACAAUCUCCACCACUGUCAUCACUACCAUCAUUGUCACCACCAUUACCGCAACCGCCACCAUUGCCACCACAACCACAAUUGCCAUUACCACUAUCAUUGCCGCCACCGCCGACACCACCAUAUCGGCAACCACCACCACCAUUACCAUCACUGUUGUCGUCACCCCCACUCCUACUACUACUAUGUCCAUUUGUGAUUGUAUACAAUUAUAUCACUUUUACAUUAAUUUUUACCAAAUGCUUUUGCGUUGCUUUUCAUACUCAAAGCACUUUUAAAAUUCAAUUAACAUCAACUUUAUUUUAUAGCUGAUUAUUCUUAAAGUAUAGUAUAAGCAGUUUUUUUUUAAAAGCACAACAAUCCCAAACUGGCCCUAAGUAGUGGCUGCUGCUUGUUCCUCCGCUGCCUCCGGUUGAAGGGUGCAUAUGAGGUUACGGUCACCAUACACAUUGUCAACUCGUCCUGAUACAACAGUUAACGAAAUUCAAUCGUCAAUAUAAGCAAUCGGAUAGCACCAAAAUGAAAGUAUAGCAAACACUUAGCAACUUCCAUGCCAUUGUAGUUUAUUUUUGGCGUAAAUUGCGUACCUGUAGUAGGCCAGAACUUGGAAGAACGGAGCCAGGAAGCGGGGAAGGCUGCAUAUUCCCGGGAAUAUGGCUUUGUCCAUGCAUCUCCGAUGAGCAGUGAUGGCGGGUGAGGAGCUCCCUGCAGAAGGAGUUCAAAAACCAUUUAUAUUUAAAAUGAGUAACUGAUAGUUCUUGGAGGAGAGAGAUGAACAGAACUUUUACUUUAAGGACGUUGUUAAGAAUAUCAGCUUUUCCUUUCUGAAUCAGAGCAAUCUCUUCUCUGAUGGAAAUUAGAGCAUCACAAAACCUGUCUAACUCGGCCUGCAAGCAAGAAAAACUAAUAUACUUUAGCUCGAAGAAAAACAUCAGAGAAAAAAAUUAACUGAAAUCUUUCUGUUGGGUUGUACCUUGCUUUCACUUUCUGUUGGAUCAAUCAUGCGAGUGCCAGGAACUGGCCAUGACAUUGUUGGUCCAUGGAACCCGUAGUCCAUAAGACGCUUGGGGACGUCCUCAGGCUCUAUCCCAGCAGUAUUCUACAAGGAAAAAAGAAGCAGCAGAGUUCAAUUAGAAAGAGAUUGAAAAAGCGGACAAAUCAAGGCAAAUGCUAAGAAUAUACCUUAAAUCCUUUCAAGUCAACAAUGAAUUCAUGGGCAACAGUUCCAUUGACACCAUGGAAAAGAAUGGGGUAGUAAUUCUGUAAGAAAUGACAGACAAAUUUAGCAUACAGAGGAAAUUUAACAUGGAGUAUAACCGUAAGCUCAAAUUGUAAAGCAAAACAAGAGUGAAGGAGCAAACUGGAACCUCCAAGCGUUUGGCCAUGCAGUUUGCAUUCAGAAUAGCUAUGAUGAUAUCUUUGAUGCAUCGGUGAGUCCCUUGGACCCCAUCAUGGCUAUGUAAGUAUAAGAGAUUGGCAAAAUAAGUGCAGAGCCCAAGGUGCGGCAGAGAUGGUUUCGAGUGGCUGAGACUUGUGGAGGGCAGGAGGGCCACCGGUAGAUACCAUGUGUACAAUGGCACAAUUUUUUUUGUUUGUUUAUAUUUUCCUCAUCCCCCAAGUCAAGUGCAAGAACUCUCCCUCUAGUGUGAGUCCCACAAUUUCUUACCAUAGACUUCACUCGAUCCUGACCGUUGAUUUUGUGUGAUGAGAUUGAAUGUGGAGAUGUUGAACAUCCAAGAUGGUGGUGUUUUAUGGCUCUUUGGGACCAACAAUGGCAUUUGCCUUAUGCAAGUGGACUUCACUUCAUCUUAUAUGUUCAUUCUUCAAAUAGUGAUAAGAUAGUAAGAUGAUAAACAUCUUUCCUUUUGUGUUGAUUGUGUGUUUAUGAAUAAGAUAUUGUGUGUUUAAGAAGUUGACAGACGUAACACAUGUGUACUGAGAAUGAGGAUACGAUAACCGUAAAAUAUUUGUUUAGAUGAAGGGUUGAAACAAAACAUAGAAAGAAGAAAAGUGGGCCUCAUUGCUAUUUUCUUUUUUUUUUGUUGUGCAUAUUUGGUAUUUAUGAUCUACAUAUCAUAUAAUUCAAAACUUGACAGCUGUAACACAUGUAGAUCUGCAUACUGAAAAUACGACGAGUGUAAAGUGUUUGUUUGAAACGGAGGUGUAAAAUAAAACAUGCAUUUAUUGUGUAUUUAUAAAUAAGAUAUUGUGUGUUUAAGAAGCUGACAAACGUAACUCAUGAGUACUGAGAAUGAGAAUACGACGAUUGUAAAAUAUUUGUUCAAAUGGAGAGGUGAAAUAAAACAUUCAUUUUUAUGUUGUGCAGAUUUUGUAUUUAUGAUUUGCGUAUUGUAGAAUUUAAAACUUGAUAGCUGUAACGCAUGCAACUAUCCUAAGCUAUUAGAUCAGCAUUACUAAGUUUAAUAUAUAAUCUCUCUCGCAUUGUAGACAAGAUAUUUGAUAUGGUAGCUCCGACUCUAAAGUAUUUCAUUAAGAUACUCAUUCUAUAAAUGGACUAUUAAAAAAACUAUAAAAAAAAAAGCAAGGAGAUGAAAAAGCUUGUUACGUCUCGAAUUGAGGACAGUGAAAAAAAAUAACCUCGUGGUUAAUUUAAAAAAAAUGAAAAUAAAACGAAAAUGAACUUCUAUUGUACAAUAAAUUUUGAAACUUUACAAGUGUACAAGAAUAAUAAAAAUAUUAUGCCGCUUUUCUAACACAAUUUCUGCUCUUCUACCAUUUAUUAAUUUUGUAUUGAAUAUGUAAGGUCUAAAAUGUAUAAGGGGAAGGACAUAAGUUUUAUCAAGGAUAAUUGUCAAGACUAAACCAACACAUAAUUCAAUCAUAUUUCAUGAUAUCAAAUAUCACCAACAUAAAUUAUAUUUCAUAAAUACAGCUUAACUUCAUUACAGUGACAAUUUAUCUCAAAUGCCAAAAACCUGCAUUUUGCUUGAUAGUUUGAGUAAAGGUUACAAUACUUUCUUUACUGUUGCUCACAUUUCUUGUAGUGAACGGAAGCGAAAUCAAGGUCCUUCCAAGUAUAUCUCUUGGACUCUCCAACAACUCAUCAAGAAGUCGCAAUCGGAUGUGUUCGAUGCAAAGAUUGACAGGCCUAUUGAGCCUGCAUGUACGACCAACACCUUCGAUCAGUUGCUCAAGAUCUUCAAGUAGUAGAUUGCAUGCUCGCAUACGUUGCACAGCCUUGCCUUCGUUGAUUACCAUUAAUUAUUUGUUUCUUAUUUAGUAUUUUCAAUUAAUUUUUGUGUUCGAGAUUUGUUAUAUAGACAUGUUUUCAAGUUCUACAACAUUCAGAACAUUGUUGUAAAUGUCGGCUUUUCCUUUUUCAAUCCGAGCUGAAGACUUAAGAGGUGGCUGCCGCUUGUUCCUCCACCGCCUAAGGGUGUAGAUGAGGUUGCCUUCACCACACAUAUUGUCAACACGCACAUCCAGAUAUUGUAUAGCUAUCAACGAAAAUCGUCACUAAAAGUAAUCAGAACAAUACCACACUGUACAUACCUGAAACUCCUCCAAGAAAUUGAUAUCUACGCUCACUAAAAAACCUAAGACAUAAACUUGGUCUCCACUAUUGAGAGUUCAUAGUGGAGACCAAGGAAUGAAUGAUCAUCCUUGAAUGAUCAUCCAUCCACAUUUUUUAAUUAGUGACCAAGGAGUGAAUGAUCAUCCAUCCUUGAAUUUGGAUAUGUUUUUAUUAUUUUAAUCUCAACCCUUAAUAUCAGAUCCAAGGGCAAAUGACUAUGAAUUCUUGGUCCCCAAGCAAUACAAGGUCAAUACUCCUAUGAUAUUGUUUUCUUAUUUAUCAAUUUGUUCCGAAUAUUAUGGUUUUUUGGACCAACUUGGAAACCCUUGCAGACUAGUAUUUGGAAACCCUUGCCGCUUUUACUCAUUAUAUUUACAUUGCUAGACUUUCUUAGUUUCUCAAUUCUUACCUUCCAGUUUGUUCUCUUCCCUAUUCUCAAUAUCUUCACGUCCAACUAGCUCUAGCUUUCAGAAAACCCUAGUUUUUUUCCUCUCGUCUAUAACAGUUUCUUCUGUUUCCAAAUAAACCCUAGCUUUCAUAAACCCCUAGUUUUGUUUCUUUCGUUUAGUCAAGGAGAAGUACAAACAAUGAAUCUUUCAAACAUUCUUCAAGAAAAGACGAGUAUGUUCAUCAAGAAGUUGAGCAAGUCCCAGUACUCCAAGAAAAGUUACACAGCUUUAAGCAAGCCCCAGCCCCCUAAGAAAGGUUAUAUCAAUGUGUACGUUGGACAAGAACGAAAGCUAUAUCAGAUUCCUUUGAAGUAUCUCUUGGAUCCAACUCUCCAACAACUCAUCGAGAAGUCGCAGCCGGAUGUGUUCGACUCAAAGAUUGACGGGCCAAUUGAGCUUGCAUGUACGACCCACACCUUCGACGAGUUUCUCAAGAUCUUCAAAAAGUAGCAGACUGCAUGCGUGCGCAGCCUUGUUUGAUUAAUAUUGAUUAUUUGUUCAUUUUUUUGUACUUUGAUUUAAUUUUUGUAUUCGAGGUUUAUUAGUUAUUGAUUCAGAUGCACAAAAAUUAACGUUUUUGUACAGCCUCUCAACCUCAUCCGUUUGACGGUGAGGAUAAAUAAUAUACAUUGAUUUUUUUUUUCAAAUAUGUUUUUGGCAAUCGGGCGCCUAAACUAAUCUAACGUAAGAUGGAGAUCCAAACUUAGGUGCAAGAGGGCCGACGCACUGCAGUGCCCAACUGGGAACAAAACCUAAUGAAGAAGGGCAAAAAUAAUUACAACAUCUGAGUUGCAAUUAGCAACAUGUUAUUAGAAAGGAUAAUUGUCAUCAUCAUAAAUAGGAAACGAAUGUCACCAGAUAUAAAGGGUAUAUUGAAGAAAUUAUAUACAAUGUGGGAGUAAGAAGAAGAAAUUGAUGAUGAUUUCAUAACAUAUCCAUGACCAGACUUUGUGUUGAGCUCAAUGCACCGAGCCGAGGAGAUUAAGCAGUGGCUGCUGCUUGUUCCUCCACUGCUUCCGGUUGAAGGGUGCAGACGAGGUUACGGUCACCAUACACAUUGUCAACGCGUCCUGACACAAUAGUUAACGAAAUUCAAUCGUCAAUAAAAGCAAUCAGAGAGUACCAAAAUGGAAGUAUAGCAAACACCUGGCAACUUCCAUGCCAUUCUAGUUUCUUUAUUUUUGGUGUAAAUUGCAUACCUGUGGUAGGCCAGAACUUGGAAGAACGGAGCCAGGAAGCGGGGAAGGCUGCAUAUUCCCGGGAAUAUGGCUUUGUCCAUGCAUCUCCCAUGAGCAGUGAUGGCGGGUGAGGAGCUCCCUGCAGGAGGAGUUCAAAAACCAUUUUUAAUUAUGUAAAAUGAGUAACUUAUAGUCUUGGAGGAGAGAGAUGAGCAGAGCCUUUACUUUAAGGACAUUGUUGAGAAUAUCGGCUUUUCCUUUCUCAAUCUGAGCAAUCUCUUCUCUGAUGGAAAUUAGAGCAUCACAAAACCUGUCUAACUCGGCCUGCAAGCAAGAAAAAUAAUUACUUGAACUCGAAGAAAAACAUCAGAGAAAAAAUCAAAGGAAAUUUUCUGUUGGGGUGUACCUUGCUUUCACUUUCUGUUGGCUCAAUCAUGAGAGUGCCAGGAACUGGCCAUGACAUUGUUGGUCCAUGGAAACCGUAGUCCAUAAGACGCUUGGCAACGUCCUCAGGCUCUAUCCCAGCAGUAUUCUACAGGAAAAAAAAGCAGCAGAGUUCAAUUAGACAGAGAUAAAAAAUGCGGACAAAUCAAGGCAAAUGUCAAGAAUAUACCUUAAAUCCUCUCAAGUCAACAAUGAAUUCGUGGGCAACAGUUCCAUUGACACCACGGAAAAGAAUGGGGUAGUAAUUCUGAAAGAAAUGACAGACAAAAUGAGCAAACAGAGGAAAUUUAACAUAGAGUAUAACCAUAAGCGCAAAUUGUAAAGCAAUACAAAAGUGAAGAAGAAAAGUGGAACCUCCAAGCGUUUGGCCAUGUAGUUUGCAUUCAGAAUUGCUAUCUUUGAUGCAUCAGUGAGUCCCUUGGACCCCAUCAUGGCUAUGUAAGUAUAAGAGAUUGGCAAAAUAAGUGCAGAGCCCCAAGGUGCAGCAGAGAUGGUUCCGAGUGGCUGAGACUUGUCAGGGACAGGAAGGCCACCGGUAGAUACCUUCAGUACAAUAGCACAAAACUUAGACAUCCAGCAUGUAAGGAAUUACAUUGUUUCUCAUGUAAACCAAAUUGAUUAUUUCUGAGUUUACAGAAUCGGUUGAAAAGCUUCAACGUUAAGAGUAGUUACCACAGGAUGGGAUGGUAAGAAGGGUGCCAAGUGCUUCUUCACACCAAUAGGACCCAUGCCAGGGCCACCACCUCCGUGUGGAAUGCAAAAUGUUUUGUGGAGAUUGAGAUGGCAAACGUCAGCUCCAAUCCAACCUGGGCUUGUCAGACCAACCUGCAAGAACAAAAAGCUUGUUAGAUUGGACAUGCGCCAGCAAAAGAAAACAGCCUGCAGGGCAGAAACUGUUUGAAUUUAUGUUUCAAGGACAUAACUAUCAAGCAUGGAUAGGAUAAGAUACAGACCUGUGCAUUCAUGUUAGCCCCGUCCAUGUAUACUUGACCCCCGUUGUCAUGAAUGAUCUUACAUAUCUCAUCAAUACCUUCUUCAUACACUCCGUGAGUUGAAGGAUAUGUCACCUACAAUUUGAAAUAUGGUCAAAUCUCUCCGAUCUUUUUGAAAUGAUAUAAAUCUUUUUUGACAUAGGAUUCUUACCAUAAAAGCUGAUAGGUUAUCCUUGUUUGCUUCAGCAGCCUUCUUCAGCUCUUCAAUGUUGAUGUUUCCCUUGGCAUCAGUUCCAAUAGUUACAAUCUUCAUUCCACACAUUGCAGCACUAGCAGGAUUCGUACCAUGUGCCGAGACAGGAAUGAUACACACAUUCCGGUGGCGAUCCCCUCUUGCCUACAGUGGGUAACCAGUGAAGGGUUCAGCAUGAUUAGUUACAAGGAUAAACCUUUAGGUCAAAUACUUUAAUUUAAAGUGCUCAUAUUGAGCUCGACAGCAAAGGCUUGCUAACAAAUAUUAAAAAAGGGAAAACAAAAGAAGUAAAACUCAGGAUUUCUUACAAAAUGAUAUGCCCGAAUAACCAUCAGCCCAGCAUACUCUCCAGCAGCUCCGGCAUUGGGUUGCAAAGAGAAAGAGUCAAAGCCAGUGAUGGUGCACAAUAGGUCACCCAAAUCUCUGAACAUUUCCUGAAAUUUAUUAUUUCACAGCAUAUGGUAUAAGAUUUCUAUUUACAUGAAGGAAAGCAACGUAACAAAAAGAAAUUCAGGGGAAAAAGUUUGAAACUGUUUAAGUUCAUUCGUAAGUAAACAUUUUUAACUACCUGAUAACCCUCAGCCUGUUCUGUAGGAGCAAAAGGGUGAAUAUCGGUGAAACUAGGCCAUGUCACUGGCAUCAUUUCAGUUGUUGCGUUCAAUUUCAUGGUACAAGAUCCCAAGGGAAUCAUACUGUGGCAUAGAGACAGAUCCUUCGAUUGCAACUUAUGCAUGUAUCGUAGCAACUCAUGCUCGGUAUGAUACCUAAUAGAGAGAAUGAAUUUAAGUCGAUUUAGUUGUCAAAUAGUAGGCUGUGAGAGUUCAAUCAUCUGGAAAGGGACAUACGAGUUGAAGAUCGGAUGGGUAAGGAAUGUGCUCUCCCUCGUUAACCCAGAAGGAAUUGCAGGCUGAACUUCUGGCGCAAGAGAUGCAGCAGUGAAAGGGACCUGGAAAUUAAACAAAUUUCUUACUAAAUGGAUGCACUUCAUAAUAAAUUGCAAAUAUCAUCUUUAUGGUAAAGAUAUAUACUUACAGGUUUUCCCAAUGCAAAAGCUUUGAAAAGCUUGUCAACAUCCUCCAAGGUAGUUGUUUCGUCAAACGAAACAGUGAUCUGAAAAGGAGUUAACUUUCAGUACCCUCGUGAUGUAAAAACACUCCAUCCUCUGUCCUCAGAGAAUAUUUAGUUAAAUAACUGAUGCAAGAGACAAAAAAAAUACUCACAGUGCUCGAGUCUACUACUCUCAAAUUUAAUCCAAGCUUGUUAGCAGCAUCAGAAAUUGCAUGUGCGUCAGCAACCUUAACCUUCACAGUGUCGAAGAAGGGAAGGCUCUGAACUUCCACUGUUCCAAGUUUCUUCAAUCCAACUGCAAACGCCCCAGCAAGACCAUGAACCCUUUGAGAAAUGGUUUUAAGGCCUUCGGGUCCAUGAUAUACAGCGUACAUGGCAGCCAUGUUUGCAAGUAAUGCCUAUAAAACAAAACAAAAAAUAUCCAAUCAAAUUGAAAUAUAUGAUUCCAUCAUUUGAUCGAAAAUUUCAAACUUUCAACAGUUCAUCCCCAAUAAAAAUCAUAAAACAGAUCAAACAAAGAAUAGUAUAGUACCUGAGCAGUGCAAAUGUUGCUGGUAGCUUUGUCCCUCCUGAUAUGCUGCUCCCUUGUCUGCAUAGCCAUACGCAGCGCAGGCUUCCCCGAGGAAUCAACACUAACACCAAUAAUUCUCCCCGGCAUCAUCCUCUUGUACUCUUGUGAGGUGGCCAGGAAAGCCGCAUGAGGACCUCCAUACCCCAUCGGAACACCAAACCUCUGCGCAGAACCAACAACAAUAUCCGCCCCAAACUCACCAGGCGGCUUCAACACUGUCAACGCCAACAGAUCAGUUGCCAUCACAACCUUAACCCCAUUGGCAUGAGCAUUCUUAAUAAACUCCCCGUAGUCCAAAACCUCGCCCUCAGUCCCCGGAUACUGAACAAGAACACCACAAACAUCACCGGAACUGUAAUCAACAUCCUUAAGAUCUGCGGUAACAACCUUAAGAUCGAAACCAUCAGCUCUAGUCUUGCAAAUAUCAAUGGUCUGGGGGUGGCAGUUGUUGGCAAUGACAAAAGUCUUCUUCUUUCCCUUUUGGAUGUUGUUACACAUCGCCAUUGCCUCCGCGGCUGCGGUUCCCUCAUCGAGCAGUGAUGCAUUCGACAUGGGAAGGCCGGUGAGGUCAGUGAUCAAAGUUUGGAAAUUGAGCAGAGACUCCAACCUCCCCUGGGAAAUCUCAGCCUGGUAAGGUGUGUACUGAGUGUACCAAGCUGGAUUUUCCAUAAUAUUCCUCAAAAUUACAGGUGGGACAUGUGUGUUGUAAUAUCCCAUCCCAAUAAAACUCUUGAAAAUCUGGUUUUUUGAGGCCAAAUUCUUCAUGUGUUCAAGCAUUUGACUCUCUGUCAACCCCUCAUCGAAUUUCGGAAACUUCAUCGAUUCGAGUCGAAUCGAUUUGGGCACGGUGGCGUCGAUCAGCGAGUCGAGGCCAUCGAACCCGCAUAACUCCGCCAUUUUAAUCUGCUCCUCCGGGGUGGCGGAGUUAUGGCGGCGGGGAAAAGUGUCGCUGCUUUUCAAUGCGUCCACGGAAAUCGACCGGGUUUGGAACCCGGCAUUGUGGGACGCGUUUCUCGAGGGGAGCGAGUCUGAUCUGGGAUUCGAGCGCGUGAAGGAGCAUGGGGAGAGUGAGGAGACGUACCUCGACGGUGCGUAGAGAACAGGGGAGGUGGAGGAGCUCAGAACAGAGCUCUCGUUCUGGCGGAACUGCUUGGCCUCCGAGACCAACCGCUUCACGAAAGCCCGGUUCGCCAGCCGCCUCGCGCGCUCCAUGGAAGCUGAAAACGACUGCGUUUUGCAAAACCCAGAAAGCAGAAACUGGAAAUGCAGAUUGGGUUGGUGAGAAACUUGGAAAAAAUAUGAUUUCAAAGUCUGUUGCUUUUUUUCUUUGUUGCUCUGUUAUUCCAUUGGAGUGAAUGAGACUACAGGUUGGGGGAGGAUGUGGGUUUGUUUUUGAUAAGCAAAAUCAGUGGAGGUUUUUGUCAAUAUAUAAAUAUAUGAAUAUAUAAAUAUAUGAAUAUUUAAAUAUGAGCCGGAUUCGUGACAUCAUUUUUUAUACAUUUUUUACAGACAUUUUGUAAGAUCUGGUUCGUAUUGUAUCUCAACGAUCCGAACCAUUUAUUUUUUAAAACAUCAUUCGUAGAUCAUCCUUGUCUAAAAAAUUAGACAAAUACAAAGUUAUUAAGAAAUUCAUUUGUUGGGAAGGAAAUUGACAGAUAAGAUCCUACAAAGAAACACUAAAUUUACCCCUACAGUCAUAUGGUUCGAAUUUUGGUGAUUUUUCAUGCACAUGAUCUUUGACAAAAUGUUUAAAAAUAUACCAUUUGGAUCAUUGAAAUAUAUUAUGAAUUGAACUCUAUACAAGUAUUAUGCAAAAAAUUGUGUAAAAACGUAAAGUUACAAAUUUGCCUUUUUAAAUAUAAUAAUGUAUAUUAAAUUUGGAGAAAAUGUGAUGGGAGUUUCAAGAUCUGGUGGUGGUGGUGGGUGGUGGACGACUUGGACGACUGGGCACCUAUUGAGAAAAGGACAGAAUUUUUUUGGAGGGUAUGAAAAAUCCACAAAAAUAUAGAAAAUUAUGGUUCAUAAAAUCAUGAAUGUAUGGAAGGGAUUGGAGGAAAGGAGAUUGAGUUUCAAUGGAUCUGAAUGAAUGGCCUUGUCCAGAUAGUGUUGAGGGAGGAAGGGAGGGAGAAAAAACAUGAACCAAUGGAGUGUUUGAUGCAUAUCUGCUGGAUUUGGAGUGAGAAUAUGAGAAUCUUUUCUGUAAUUUGUUGGCAGAUUCUCUAACACAAUAGGCUUAUCUUCAUGUAUCACCUCACACACAAGGAGAACAAAGUAUGAAAAUUAAUCCAGGGUUAGAUUAUGAGUCUUAUGACUCGUGUAAUAUUACAAAUCUUUGAACUUAAGUGUAACAAGAUGUAUAUCGUUCUCUUUAUGUUAUGUAUGCAAAUAUACACACAGUUGCACUCAAGAUUUUUCCAAACGCUUUAGAUCUAAGCUAAUGAAUAGUGAUGAAAGACAAAAAGAAUUAUCACAUUUGUGGUAAUGGAGAUUUGGUUGAAUAUUCCGACUCCAAUCUUGUGAUUUAUUUGCCAGAUUGACUAUUUGGUGGGGCUAACUGUAUUUGGUGAAGUGUGGGUUGGCGGGACAGAAAUUCACUCGAAAUUUUAUUGUUUGGAGUUUAAGAAUCAAACAAUUUGAAUCACUCAAUUGAAUCUAACGUUCAUUAGUAACUCAUUUCAUAAGCUUACCUUACACAAAUCAAAAGCUCUAAUCCCUCUUUUACAUGGACCAAAAGUUUAGAUUUUCUGAUCCUUAGACUUGAGGUCCGGAGAAGAUCUAAAUCCGGGGUUGGUGUGUAAUUUUGGUAAAGAAUGACAGGGGAUCAUCCUUGAGAGGAAAAAGAUGUCUGUGGCUGACAAUGUACGUUUCAACCGAACUGAGUCAGAUGCUGUUAUUAUGGUUUAGUACUUGACGGUUUUUUUAGUCUGGUGUAUUAAUGACCGUCAAACUGUCAGAAUCAACGGACCAGAUUGUUUUUUGCUAAUGUUAGGAAUCCUGAUGGAGUAGGUGAAUCUAGGACUUGGUCUCAGCCUUUUAGUUUUUAAUCCCUGGGAAGUGGGAAUCCACUACAAAGGGCACUAUGUACAUUUGAGAGUACAAAUUAGGUUGCAGUGGCAUCAUGGUAUUUGUGGAAAAUGAUUGGUAUCUACAGUUUUAUCACAAUAUAGAAUAGUUUCAAUUAUCAUUAAGUGGCAUUGUUGGAUUGAUUCUUAGCAAAAAAGGACAUUGUUUCAAUGUCCUCAUUAUAUGGUAGGAAGCUGUAAAAGGGAAAACAAAACGAGUUCAAAUCUUCUGUAUUCAAAAUUUUAUGUGAUCUUUUUGUGAUCUAUUUCAUUUAUUGAUAUCUGAUCAUUCAUUUAAAUCUCACUUAACAAUGUUAAUUCUUCAACUUAUUCCUCAACAAAAAGAAUAAGAAAAUAGUAUCUGGUCCCUAGUUACUAAUGUUCAUUGACUAAGACCUUAUUAGUUUUUGGAUUUUGAUCAAAGUCCCUAACAUUAAUAUAAUAAUGAAUUUACAUGUCAGUUGCAUAAUUUUUUUUAAAUAAAAAUUAGUAAUUGAUUUAGGGUUUUAAUACUCACAUUUUUUUUAAAUAUGCAAUGUACCCAUUUUUCUUUAUAUAAAAUCCAUUCAAUUUUUUUAAUCCAUUUUUAAACUUAUAUGGGUACUUUCCUUUUUAGUUGAUUAGAGAAUGUAUCCAUGUUAAGUUUAAUUGAAGAAAUUUACUAAUGUUAUUAAGCCUAAUAUAUAUAUUUUUUUUUUGUGGUUUUGAAGAAUGUACCCAUGUUUUGAUCCAAUAAUAUUUUUUUGUUAAUUUUAACGAAUGUACCCAUGUUUAUAUAUAUGUAUAGGGAAUUGCUAUUAGCACUCCAAAAAUUUCAUUUUGUACUCCAAACUUGCUAUAAUUAGAAAUAAAAAUACACUUGUGAGGAGUGUAUAAUGAGAUUUUUGGAGGGCUAAUAACAAUUACACACACACACACACAAUAUAUUAGAGUGUAUAGUUUAUAUUUUAUUAUUUUUAAUCCCACAAAAUAUGGGUUUUAUUCUUAAUAUAAACAAUUACAAUUUUUAAUUUUUAAUUUAAAAAUAUAUAUAUAGUAACCUACAUAAAAAAUACAUUAUUACAUUUAUAUCAGGACUUUGAUAAAAAACUAAAAACUAACAAGAUUUCAGUUAAAGAAUAUUGAUAGGUUAGAGACCGCAUACAAAGUGUUCCUUAAAAAGUUAAGGGGACAGAUUUGUGGCAUUACUUUUUAAAACAAUUUUGUACACAUGUUUUUGUGGGGUUCACUUCGUAAUGUAUAAACUAAAGAUAAAUUUAAAUCAAAAGAACACGUGUCACUGAAGUAGAUAUGUCAAAGAGAGGCCACAAAGAGUUUUGGGUGCAUAAAGUUUGAACUCAAAUAAAACAUGAAGGAAAAAAAUAACAAAUAGUUUAUAGCUCAGUUGAUUAAGAGCAUUCGCUCAUACAAUUGAGGUCCUGUGUACGAAUUCACUGCCUAAUAGUUUAGAUGACAAAGUAUCUAUUGACUAAAUGUGAAAUUACAUAUGUAGGACAUCCAAAAUCUAGUUUUCGAGUCGGUAAAGAUUGAUGAAUUUUCACCAAGUUUUAGGUGAUCAUGAUAUAUGGUAGGUGCAAGUAAUAAACUUCCAUUUUAGUUCUUAAAGUUGGUAAAGGAGAAGGAGGUCACUGUCAUGAGGUAGGUUCAGUUUGAUCAUCUUUGACUACAUGAGCCGCCCAUGAAGUUUCCUUUCAUUUCACAACAUUCACUUCUGGGCUAAAUUUCAUAACCUUCCUUUUGGACCUAUUAUUUUUCAAAUUUUCUUAUCCAAUAAGCGCAGCCCGUUACAUAUGAAAAUAUUUUACUUAUUUAGAAUGAGAGGAAGUAAGGAAUCGAGAAUUUAAGAAUAAGAGAAGUAUGGAGUUCUUAAUUGAUUUUGUUUAUACCAUAUUUAGGGUCUCGUAUUUAGAUCUCGUACAAAUACUCGGGGGACUUAAAUGUAAUUAUGUGAUAAAGGAAUGGAAAAAUAUGUAAUAAGUGAGGAGUCCUUAUUCUAUAAAAGGACCCAUCACCCUCACAAUUGAGGGAGGCCAAUUCCCAGGCCCUCUCACCCCCUCUCAAAGCUCUCACUCUUAGAGCUCUCUCUCCCUCAAAUAAAUACAUAAUCAGUGUGGACGUAUCACAAACCUUGGCGUGAACCACGAUACAUCUUGUGUUAUUUACAUUACUUGCGGAUUCACGAUCGGAUUUACGUUGUUCCAAGACCUCAAGUUUUGUGCAUCAACAUUUGGCGCAAUCUGUGGGAAUCGACAUGAAAAGCUGUGUCAGUUCUCUUUCAUUUCUUUUUCAUCUCACCAUUGUGAAAACUUCACGACCUCCACCGUGAAUCUGCAGAGAAAUCAGAUGUUGACCGACUUUGAUCUCUCAUUAACAACCACAGAUCUAACAUCAAUGGCUCAAGUUGUUUUUGAUCGGGACCCACCAGUCACCAACCAUUCUGAUAAUCCCAACAAGCCAAACUUUGGCAUAUCAUCAUGCAUCCUACCAAGUCGUAUAGUCCGGGCCGCACCAUACACACACCCAAAACGCAAACGCAAGAAGAAUUCAGGCUACCGUCUGAUGCUUGAGAUCGUGGCAGAGCCUAUCAACGUCCGGUCAAUGGUACACUAUGAGGGAGCUGGAAAGUUGAAUGAGGUAAAAACACCUUCUGUUACUGCUUCUGCUUCGGCAACAACAAAUGUGAAACCGCCUAAAGCCACAUCUAGUUACUUCAAAGUCUUCUCCGACCCAUCAUCUUCAUGGCCGCCAGCUCCAGGCCUGGCGUUUCUUUUGCCCCACAACACUCAUCCUCCCUCACCCCGGUCCUGUCUCCCCAGGACAAGCCCCCUCUCUCCAAGUCCUAAACCGUCAGCACUGUUGCCGCCACUCAGGUCAACUUCAUGCGUGUCAUCGUGGAGCAUUCGCGGGAACUUUAUGGUGGCAGCGAAAGCCUGCGAUGUGUGGCAUGGGGUUUAGAGAGAGUGGCAUGGUCGUUGCACUUGCUCUACGUGUUGUAUCAGUCUCUCUCUCUUUGCGAGAAUGGAGGUCAGAAGAGGAACUCUCUGGAAACAAAAGUUUCAAAAGCUAGCUACCAGCCAUACAUGGCUGAAACUUCUUCCCGAACAAGAAACGCCGCCCUGUUUCUGUUGAAGACGUUCGAUCUGCUAGAAGAACAAGAUGUCGGAGGAGAUGAUGGUGGGAAGAGGAAUACUGUGUCAUGGAAUGUAGAGGGCACUGGAUUUAUAGUAUGGUCUCCUGCUGAUUUCUCAGAGCUCCUGUUGCUUAAAUAUUUCAAGCACAACAAUUUCUCCAGCUUCAUUCGCCAACUUAAUACCUAUGUCAGAAGAGAAGCUUGAUAAGCUUUAAGGAACUCAACCUCUGAGCAUAACAAUGAGUGUAAAGGAGUACGUGCGGACUGAGUUUCUAAAACUGGAACAAGAAACCAUCCUCCCUAACAAGCAACUUUUUCCUUCUCUCGUCGCACUGGAAGAAGAAGUGCUCAUUCCACUACGGGUUCUGGGAUUUUCUUCAUGACACGUGCCCCUUCAUUUUUCACCUUAAUAAAGGGUGGGAGAAUAUUAUGGAGCUUUGGCGGUGGACUCGUGGACCAUGUAGCAGAAAAAAGAGAAAGCAAAAGCGGAGAUAAGAUUCUUUGCUUAGUAUUAAAAUCUAUUAUCAUUCCUUGUCUGCCAUACUCAUCAGGAUCAAGAAAAGCAGAAAAGCAGUGGGGAACAAAGCAGAAAAAAAAAAAAAAGGCAAAAGCAAGGAAUAAACACCCCACCAAAGUGAUGUGGUUUACUUUCCUUAUUUUUGAAUGAUGUAAUUUAUUUUUCGUAUCUUUCGAAGAUAUCUGUAUAAACCCCAUCAAAGGGUAAUAGUAAAAUAAAAAAAAUAAAAAAUAAAAAAAAAUAAAAGGCAAAGCCCAAAAUAAAUGGGCUGGAAUGUUAUAUGGAGGGCGAAGGCCCAUAAGCCCAAAAUAGCACCAACCAGGUGACCAAAAGUACGCCCAGUACUCCAAAAUUAUUUGGCAACCUGCCGCUAUUACCACCAACCAGGUGAUCAAAAGUACGCCAAGUACUCCAAAAUUAUUCUGCAACCCGCCAUUAUUACCACCAACCAGGUGAUGAAAUGUACAACCCGUACUCUAAAUAUCAUUUGGCAACUAGCCAUUCAUGCCACCAACCAGGUGAUGAAAUGUACAACUCGUACUCUAAUAUCAUUUGGCAACUAGCUAUUCAUGCCACCAACCAGGUAAUGAAAUGUACAACCCGUACUCUCCUUCAUGCCACCAACCAGGUGAUCAAAAGUAUGCCCAAUACUUCAAAUUAUACAUGAGCAUUACUCAUGUCAAUCAUACAUAAACAUUCAUGAGCAUCACUUAUGUCAACAUUCAUGAGCAUCACUCAUGUCAACAUCCAUGAGCAUCACUCAUGUCAAUCAACAUAAACAUUCAUGAGCAUUACUCAUGUCAAUCAUCUUCAAAAGCUUCAUUUACAAAAGCUCUAGCUUCAAAAGCUUCAUUUACAGAGCUCCAACUUCAAAGCUUCACUUACAAAGCUUCACCUGCAAAGCUUCAAUGCAGGGUAUACAAAUACCGCCUCCGAACAACCGCCACUUCGGCCCAUACAUGGAUUCAAUUUGAAGUCUCCAGCCAACAUACUCUAUUGACCGAAGACUUGGGGGACUACACUAUACACUAUAUAUUGGGCCUCAACUGGGCCUCAUGAAAAAUACUUGGGGGACUUAGCCCAUUAUCUAUGUACUGAGGAGCGAGCCCUUAUUCUAUAAAAGGGACUCCCUCACUUUCAUUAGAGAGCACUCAUAAAAAAUACUUGGGGGACUUAGCCCAUCACUUAUGUAUUGAGGAACGAGCCCUUAUUUUAUAAAAGGGACUCCCUCACCUUUGUUAGAGAGCAUCGCCACCAGCUGAGCAACCGCCUCGCCGCGAGCAUCAACUCUAGCACAUUAUUCAUGUAUUGAGGAGCGAGCCCUUAUUUUAUAAAAGGGACUCCCUCACCUUCGUUAGAAAGCAUCGCCGUCAGCUGAGCAACCGUCUCGCCGCAAGCAUCAACUCUAGCACAUUAUCCAUGUAUUGAGGAGCGAGCCCUUAUUUUAUAAAAGGGACUCCCUCACCAUCAUUAAAAGAGCAUCGCCGCUAGUUGAGCAACCGCAUCGCUGCGAGCAUCAACUCUUAGCCCAUCACUUAUGUAUUGAGGAGCGAGCCCUUAUUCUAUAAAAGGGACUCCCUCACCUUCAACGCCACAAGCCGAGCCAACCAAGGCAACAUAAGCCACGAGCCUAGCAGCCUCGCAACAUGUGCUACUUCUAGUUGAGCAUCAUUUCAUAUUGAGCACCGCCUCAUAUCGAGCAUCAGUUCAAGACAACAUCUAGUUACUUCGGCCCACACAUGGACUGAAUUUCAAGUCUCCAGCCAAAAGAUUCUAUUGACUGAAGACUUGGGGGACUACUUUUUAUACCAUAUUUAGGGCCUCGUAAUUAGAUCUCGCACAAAUACUCGGGGGACUUAAAUGUAAUUAUGUGAUAAAGGAAUUGGCAAAUAUUUAAUAAGUGAGGAGUCCUUAUUUUAUAAAAGGACCUCUCACCCUCACAAUUGAGGGAGGCCAAUUCCUAGGCCCUCUCACCCCCUCUCAAAGCUCUCACUCUCAGAGCUCUCUCUCCCUCAAAUAAAUACAUAAUCAGUGUGGAUGUAGCCCAAACCUUGGGGUGAACCACAUACAUCUUGUGUUAUUUACAUUACUUGCGGAAUCACGGUCGGAUUUACGUUGUUCCAAGACCUCCGGUUUUGUGCAUCAACCGAUUUGAUUUUUAAUUUUUCGAUAUUAGAUUAUGAAAUUUAAGGAAAAAGAAUGAGAAUUAUUCUCAUUCAUCUCAUUCCCUAUAAAUAAACAUAAUACUAAUUUAUGUAUUCAAAUAUGCUAAUUUUUAUCAUUAACUCACAGUUUAACAAUGCGUAAAAUAAAUUACAGUUACAAUUUCAGCAAACUCAUGUUCUUCAAGUAGCUCUUUCGAUUUUUUAUUACUCCUACACUUUAGCAAAACCACAUAAAAGAGAGAAAAAAUCCUCCUAAAUAAAAGAUUACGGAGAGCAAAAAUGUAAAUGGAAAUCAAGAGUGAUUAAUUAGGCCACAAGACAGCUCCAUAAGGAGGAUUGCAGCUUCAGCAACAUCCUGUGGAAACACUCGUUGAAAGCCCAAACCUUUGAAACAAAUCUUAUUAUUAUUACUAUUAAUUUUGUUGUUGGGAGGUACUGAUGGAGUGUCGGUGACGAUGAGCUUGCUCUUGUUCUUGCUAUGGCUUCCCCGCGGUUUCUUCUCCUUGUUGGCCACCUUACCCUUGGCAGAUGAAGUGUCAGUGGCGCCGACUACAAACCCAUUUGCAGCAGCCGCCGCAGCCUCUGCCAUGGCUUUUCUCGCUUUCCUCUGUCGAAUUCCACAUGCAUUGCACAGCGACUGCAACAAACACAUAUACACACAGAUGAAUAGACUUAAUUCAAGAGCAUAUUAUAUCUAGCCAAACACGUAUUUUCUUAUUUAUCUAUUGUCAAACAGUAAAUUAAUUUGAACCAUUAGUCAUGUUUAUUUUUGUGUCAGUAUGUUCGGUUCAGAUUCAGUCUCACAAUAUAAAAAUCUUACAGACAGUAACUACCUUGGGGCCGCGAGGACCGCUCCUCCAAAGUGGCGUUGUGUUUGUGUUACAGUCAGAACAAACCCUAACAGCUGGAGUAGUUUUGUUGUUAUUUCUGGAAAAGCUGGUUUCGUCACUGUUUUCUUGAUACUGAACAACUCGGAAUUUAUGCUCAGCUAUCUCCGCAGCUGCAGGUAUAUGAUUUCCAGUGGUACCGGCCGGCGCGAGAUCCGGGUUGGUCAUCUCUUGCAUCAACCCCAUCUUGGAGGACAUCCAUUUUACCGCCCUUGGCCUAAUAUUAUUAUUACUUUUACCCUCCUCUUCUCCUCCUCUACCAUUGAUCUCCCUUUCAUGAUCAGCAUAUGCCGACAUUAAUCUAUGGUCCUUGUUGCCUAUAACGUCCACCACAUGAGGCUGAACUAAAGAAGAUGACUUGGAUGCUUGAUCAUAAGUUCUUGUUCCACAAUCCCGUAUGUGCUUAUCAGCCUGAGAUAAAAAUAAAUAAAUAAAUAAAAAAAUUAAAAAAAAAAAAAAAAAGAAGAACAAACGUGGCUUUUGGCGUCUCGUACAAAAGUCUUUAUUAACUUACUAAUUAACUGAUUAACAAUUUAUCUAAUGUAAUUAUGAGUGUGUGUCGUACAUGCAUGUGACAAUCAUACAAAUGAUACAAAACACUAAAAAUUAGAGAACGAAUAUCGCUUUUGGAGUCUCGGACAAAAAAUCAAUCUUAUAUAUGUAUAUAGAUGGUAGCUAAUUCUGGAGAACGAAUAAUUCAUUUGCCUAUUAGUUUUAACUUUUAUCUAAGAAAAACCCAUCAAAAUUAAUCAAUUAUGAGAUCAUCAGAUCACAGAAGUACCAAGUUUGAUCAUGGACUCGUGAAGAAUCAAUUAAAGGAAGAUCGAGCUAUAUGAAAAUUUAAUUAAGAUAAUUAAGUUUAAUAUAUAUGUUCGUAGCUAUAUGGCUAGGUUUUCUUACCUUGUGAUGGUAUAAUAGUGAUUGAUCAUGACCAAGAGUAGUGGUAGUAGUAGUAGUGCUAGAACUCCCAGCUCUUUGAUCUUCAAAGGAGUCGAAGAAAGUAGGAAAUGAUGAGAUCAGAGAAGAACAUGAUGAAGCUGCAGCUUGAUUAGUAUAUGAUGAUGAUAUAAAAAGUUUCAGGCGUUGUUCCUGAUCAUUUGCUUGCUCGACAUGGGAGAAAGGAGAGGGUGGUGGGUUCAGAUAGACUGGAGUCAUCAUGUGAGGGAGAGAGAAAGAGAGAGAUCUAGAGAGAGGAGAGAGGGAGAGAGAUCUAGAGAGAGAAAGAGAGGGAGAGAGAUCUAGGGCGAGAAAGAGAGGGGUUAAAAGGGUGUUGUGUGUCGAGUGUCCAGCAAGGGAGGACAAUAUGAGAUAGGGUAAAGGCUGAUCAAAAGGUCCUGAGAUAUUCUGAAGUCUUAUAAGAGAGAAAGAGCAAGAACCCGAAUAGAGAGAGAGAGAGAGAGAGAGAGCUGAAAGGCAUUCACGUGACAUCGUGUCAAGAGGACUCAGAUAGAUAGAUAAACAAGCUGCUGCUGCUGCAAGAAAAUGACAAAUACAAAGGAGGUGUUGACUGCUACUACUCGCGAUGGCACUCCAGUACAGUAUGUAUGACAAACCCUAUUAAUUUUCUGCGGUUUUCACCCCCCACUAUUUUAUACAACUUGAUAAUAAAAACUUCAUCAAAUACAUACAUACAACACACAACAUGUAAAACUUUACCGCAUGUAAAAAUCUAUUUAUCAUGUGCGUGUGGUGUGAGUGUGUGGGUCUUAGCUAGGGUUUUAGAGGUUCAAGUAUCUAUAAUCAUCACUGUUAUUCCUCUGUGCACUGUUAACAUCUUCUAAGUAAACUCUUACAAGUAGUGACCGCCAAUACACUUUUUUCUUGUUUAGAGUAUACGUAAUAAGAUCUUAAUCUUUUCGUAAUAAUAAUACAAUCUUAUUCCACUUCUCAAACUAGCAAUAGCUAGAAGAUCUUAUAUAUGUAUUGUUUUUCCAAUUUCGAGUUUAAACUCUGAGCGUUCACAAUUCAGUCUAACUAAUAUGUGAGGAUGUAGAAAUGUGUCACAUGGAUGGUUGGGAAGGUUUCAGCCAAUUAGAUCUUGUAACAGCCUAAUAUAUGCUCGGCAACAAAGUGAAAUUUCAAAGAAAUUGAACCUAGAAAACUGUUCAGAUAUAUAUGAAGAGAUGGGUAUGGAAUGGAAUGUAUAUGGAUAGCCUAUUUGCAUAUGGGAGCGUCUCUCAUGAUCUCAUCCUUAACUUAACCUUGCCAAAACUCAUCAAAUGCUGGCACAGGCUACAGGCAGUGACAACCUCUCUCUCUCUCUCUCUCAGACACCCCCCCCCCCCCACCACCCUGCCAUCACCCUCGAUUUUACUUUCAAUUUCUGGUAUUUUUCUGAUAUUUUCAUUGCUCAUCUUUAUAUUUCGAUCUCCCUUUGUCCCUUUUUUUUUAGGAAAACUAACGAAAAGUUCAAAAAAACUUCUCUUUUCACGAAAAAUCAUUUUUAAAGGUAUAGUAAAUAAUGUCAAUUAAAGGUAAAAAUGUGAUUUUUCGUUAAAAGUGAACAGUACAGGAAGUAUUUUGUUAAAACUCCUUUUUUUUUUUUUUCUCACUGAUGACCAGGUCACAUGGAACAAGCAAUGAUUACUUCAUCUGAAGGAUAUAUGAAGGCAAUUUCAUUAAAUUCAUUUAUUUAGUCGUCUCACAAGAUUUUUCCGUUAAUUCUUGUCCGUUUCUAUUUCAUUUUCCCCAAUACAUACAUCGUCAGAGAAAAAUCGUUGCCGCAUUUUAUAAGAUCACAUUUGGUUUAUACAGUGGUGCAGGACCAGGGGACCCCUUUUAAAUCUAAAGCUGGCUCCGAGCACAAUACCACUUGAUGAGGUUUGUUCCACGGACAAAGGAUUGUCUGCACUCCUUGUUCCCGUGCCCUCACUACUACAAUAUAGGCUAUCACCGGCGGACCAAAAACCGACAAGAAACCCGAUUUCUGUCGGAAAUUUGGCAAAAAUCCGACAUAAAACACUGCAAUGUCGGAUUGGAAUAGCGACGCCAUUGCUACCGUCACUAAAGGGCUUCAGUGUCGCUUUGUUCGCUUAAUCCGCCACUAAGCAGCGUCGGUUUAAAGCGACGCUGAUGUUAACGUCGGUUUAAAGCGACGUUACAUAACAAUUAAAUAAAUAAAAUAUGCAAACUAGUGACGGUUUAAGGCGACGUUAGAGAACAAUUAAAUAAAUAAAAGCGACGUUAGAGAACAAUUAAAUAAAUAAAAUAUGCAAACUAGUGACGGUUUAAAGCGACGUUAGAGAACAAUUAAAUAAAUAAAAUAUGCAAACUAGUGACGGUUUAAAGCGACACCACCUUUGGUAAUAAUAAUAAAAAAAAAGCCAAAAUCUGUUUCUGUAUUUGUUCUCAAAUAUUAUAACUCAAAAAAAAUUAUAUAAUCGAAAUAAUAAAUUUCAAUUUUAGGCCAAAACAAACAAUAAUAAAAAUAAUUCAAAAGAAAAAUAGUGCCAUAAUAUACAAAUGUUUUACAUCUAACAUUCCAUAUAAUUUACAAAAAUUCAUCCUCCACAUUUAUUUAAAAUUAGAUACAAUUCUUCAAAAUGGACAAUACAUUCAAAUUCUUGCCACUGCGGAAGCAGAGAUUGUAGACAACCCAACUGCGGAAUCGGCCUGAAAUUCAAAAAUAUUGGAAAAAAAUGUCAAGAGCUUUGCUUAUUUGAGGAAAAACCCAAUUGAGAAAACGACCUGAAAUCCAAAAAUUCGACAAUGACCAAUUGAAAAUUUCCCAAAGACUGAGAAUUUUACAGGUUUGAAGGGCUUUGCGUACCUUGAGAGAUUGAUUGACAGGCGGGUGGAGGGGAGAGAAGACAUGGGAGUGGCCUUGAACGCUGGUUUGUUGACGGCAGAUUUGAGAAGAGAGAAAGCCGGCUUCGAGAAAGAUUUGCAGCGAGAGGCCAUUGGAGCACUGGGCGGAGAAAUAGCGGAGUUAGGAUUUUGGGGUUAACAGUCACAGCAGUUGGAAGUUGGAGAGGCAGGGGUAUGGCUGAAAUGGAACACUUGGAACAGUUAGUCAUCGUUUACUGCCCCUGGCUGGAAAUUGAUGAAGCGGGGAGCGUUACUAGAACUGGUUGACUUUCGAUUUCCUGUUUUGUUGAAGCUUAAAGGACCUACCAUCGAUUCUUCAGUCUUUGUUCUCUUCCAAAAAUUACUUAAGCUGCUGUUAAGUUGGUGAUCUUUGCUCGUACCAAACCCAGGCACAAUACUCAAAACCCAAAAGAGAGCUCUGCAUGAAAAGACCUUUCUGCGCACCAAUAUCACUCUAUGAACGGCCGUGUCUGCUUGCCCCGGAGCUCACAUUUCGAAUUCGAAUUCCCGGGUUUUCUCAGAACUGAGAUUUACAGGUAGUGAAGCAGAAAUCUCGUGAGGAUCAGGCUGUUGUUAUCGCCGGUCAGCUCCCGGAUGGCGAGGAAAAUUGCGAAACCUGUUGUCGCGGUUGAGGAUCCCAGAAGGUAGCGUGUAAUAGACGGGUUCCAUUUGUGAUUAUACAAGUUGAGGGAAAGAGUAAGGCUGAAAUGGGAGAAAGAGAAGGAGAAGGAGUAAACCAGAGGAGAAAUAUAAGAGAGAAAUGGAAGCGCAGAAGUACUGGGAAAGACGAGGUUUAAAUAUGGAUAAAAACUUAGUGUCGGUUAAUACCGACAGUAGCUACAACUUGUGUUGAACAAUGAACACCCUACGUCGGUCAAAACCGACGUAAUAUCUGACAAAUGAUAAAAAUUGCUUGCGUCGAAAUAUGAUGACUUUGCGUCGGUUCAAACCGACACUAGCUCUGACACACUUUUGAAUGAAAGGUCUGACAUUUUUUUACUGACAGGGUUGUGUCGGAUAAAACUGACGUUAGCUUGAUAGAUUUGUGUAGCGUCGAAAUAAUGAGAGUUUGCGUCGGUUUAACCGACGCCAACUCUGACACAGUCUGCAAGAGCUCGUCCAACCCAUUUCCCCGUGCAAAAAAAAACCGGGAAAAUUCUUUAAAUUUGAAUUUUUAAAAUUUGAAUCUUCAAAUACCUUUAUCUACCCGUUUUCUAAUUAAAAACACAUUAUUACUAAUCUUACCAAUUUAUCAAAAAAUCAAAAGAAACAUUGCCAGAGGUAGAUAAAAAAUUUGUGAUGUAGGUAGAAUUUAUGAUAGAGGUAGAUUGUGAACAAAAACCUAUUGUAUAGAUAGAUAAUACAAAAUAAUUUGUGAUACAUAUAGACUAUGAACAAAAACAUAUUGUAUAGGUAGAUAACACAAUUAAUUUGUGAUAAAUAGGUAGAUAACAC